UUCCCCUCCCCCUCCUCCUCCCCUGCUUCCCGUGAAUCAGAUGUUCGUGGGAAGCCUGAACAAGCAGCAGGCAGGCAGUAUAACAGCCUCUUGUGGUUACAUGACAGUUUUCUGACAAUGAAAAUCUGCCUUCUGAUUUCACCAGAGUAUUUUGUCCCAGUUUCUGCAAACCCAAGUAGACUAGCCACAAUGAAGAGCCACCGUCACCUGACCUAGUGAAAGCAACUGCAGCCUGAACACAUUACACAUGAAGGCCACCAAUUUAGGCAUGUUACCAGUUGUGUGUGUUGUUUGUUAUAUGAUUUAUUUUAUUUGUAUUACCAUAGUGUGUAGGAGCUCUAGACACGUACCAGGAUCCUAUUGUGCUAGGUGCUGCACAAACAGAACAAAAGACUGUCCCUAUUCCAAAGAGUUUGCAGGAAACAACAAAUGGAUACAGGUGGAUGAGAAAGUACAAGCAAAUAGUGAGAAAAUGUUAGGUAGCAUGAUAGGCAGUGGUCUCUGCACCAAGCUAAGGGGAGUUAAAAGGUCACUUUGUAUUUUGUCUUCUCAGUGAGAUCCUGUGCAGAGAGAGAAGUGGAGACAGGAGGAGGGAAGGUUUUGAGAAGUGAGUCAAAGGCAGUGAAAGGCAACUGGUAUUGAGUAUGUGGGAUUCAGUUAAAUUGGAAAAGUACAUUUUGUGCAGUGAGCAACCCAGCAACUCUUGUACAAGAGUCCACUCCCCAUGUUUCAAGGAGUUGCUGUGUCUCUGGCAAGUAACAAGACUUUCAGACCCUGAGCAAUGCCAUUGUCCUCUGCAAGGAGCUACCAAUCUAACCUGGGCUGACCUAUGUGCCAUUUUUAUCUCCCCUAUGCCAAACUGGAGCAAGAAAUAGAGAAGGGGUACAGGAGCCUGUUUCUGGGAAGAGAAUGUGUGACAGAGAAUUUGGCAGGGAGAGGGGUAGGAAGCA